GACGAACGCUGGCGGCGUGCUUAACACAUGCAAGUCGAACGAAGAGCGAUGGAAGCUUGCUUCUAUCAAUCUUAGUGGCGAACGGGUGAGUAACGCGUAAUCAACCUGCCCUUCAGAGGGGGACAACAGUUGGAAACGACUGCUAAUACCGCAUACGAUCUGACCUCGGCAUCGAGGAUAGAUGAAAGGUGGCCUCUACAUGUAAGCUAUCACUGAAGGAGGGGAUUGCGUCUGAUUAGCUAGUUGGGGGGGUAACGGCCCACCAAGGCGAUGAUCAGUAGCCGGUCUGAGAGGAUGAACGGCCACAAUGGGACUGAGACACGGCCCAGACCUCUACGGGAGGCAGCAGUGGGGAAUCUUCCGCAAUGGACGAAAGUCUGACGGAGCAACGCCGCGGGAGGGAUGACGGCCCUCGGGUUGUAAAGCUCUGUUAAUCGGGACGAAAGGCCUUUUUGCGAAUAGUGAGAAGGAUUGACGGUACCGGAAUAGAAAGCCACGGCUAACUACGUG
rnacentral:rRNA from 1 species